rnacentral:rRNA from 1 species
GACGAACGCUGGCGGCGUGCCUAAUACAUGCAAGCCGAGCGGACUUGAAGGAGUGCUUGCACUCCUGAGAGUUAGCGGCGGACGGGUGAGUAACACGUAGGCAACCUGCCCUCAAGACUGGGAUAACUACCGGAAACGGUAGCUAAUACCGGAUAAUUUAUUACAUAGCAUUAUGUGAUAAUGAAAGACGGAGCAAUCUGUCACUUGGGGAUGGGCCUGCGGCGCAUUAGCUAGUUGGUGGGGUAACGGCCCACCAAGGCGACGAUGCGUAGCCGACCUGAGAGGGUGAACGGCCACACUGGGACUGAGAAACGGCCCAGACUCCUACGGGAGGCAGCAGUAGGGAAUCUUCCGCAAUGGGCGAAAGCCUGACGGAGCAACGCCGCGUGAGUGAUGAAGGUUUUCGGAUCGUAAAGCUCUGUUGCCAAGGAAGAACGUCUCAUAGAGUAACUGCUAUGAGAGUGACGGUACUUGAGAAGAAAGCCCCGGCUAACUACGUG